GGAGAGAACGAGCUUGGAGCUAGCGGCAGGGCUUAACCCGGCGAAGCUUUGAGGUGGGUUGCUGAAGGAUUCCGGGAAGCAGCUGCAACAGGGCAUCACUCACUGUCCAAGCAUAUCUGUUUCUGAGUGCAAAAGGAAGAACUUGAGCGGGCGACAGUUGGAGUGAAAAUUGCUUUGUAGUAUCUAAAAGCAGCAUGGAUCGUGGGCAGCUGAGCUGCAACAAAUCAACAGAAAUUCAUGUGAAAAUCAUUGACCACCAUAUGCUGCUCGAGCUUCCUUCAGCUCCUAAUUCUAGGAGCUUGAGAACUAAAGCAAACCACAGACAGCCACAGGCACUCACUACCAGCCCUGACAAAGCAAAUCACAAAACUCACCUCACAAGGUCUGGAGAAGAGCUGGAGAGGAGUGGUCACAGGAGAAACCUAGGAGGUUCUGACCAGUAAAGUCUUGAGAGGAAGAAUAUACCUUCAGAUGCUGCUGCUGCUGCUCCUGCUAAGUUGCUUCAGUCGUGACCCACUCUGUGCGACCCCAUAGAUGGCAGCCCGCCAGGCUCCUCCAUCCCUCGGACUCUCCAGGCAAGAAUACUGGAGUGGGUUGACAUUUCCUUCUCCAAUGCAUGAAAGUGCAAAGUGAAAGUGAAGUCGCUCAGUCAUGUCUGACUCUUAGCGACCCCAUGGACUGCAACGCUCCGUCCAUGGGAUUUUCCAGGCAAGAGUACUGGAGUGGGUUGCCAUUUCCUUCUCCAAGUACCUUCAUAUAUAUCAUUCUAAAUUUAUUUAUAAUAUUCUUCUUUGAAUGCAAAACUUUUGAGGUA
rnacentral:lncRNA from 1 species